rnacentral:rRNA from 1 species
UCCGAAGGGUGCAAGCGUUAAUCGGAAUUACUGGGCGUAAAGGGUGCGUAGGCGGUUCGUUAAGUCUGUCGUGAAAUCCCCGGGCUCAACCUGGGAAUGGCGAUGGAUACUGGCGAGCUAGAGUGUGUCAGAGGAUGGUGGAAUUCCCGGUGUAGCGGUGAAAUGCGUAGAGAUCGGGAGGAACAUCAGUGGCGAAGGCGGCCAUCUGGGACAACACUGACGCUGAAGCACGAAAGCGUGGGGAGCAAACAGG